AGCUUUGUGCAGUGGCAGUAUGGUAGCCAAUGAGGAUUAUCUGAGGCAUGAUUAUUGAUGAUUGAAU
rnacentral:snRNA from 1 species